CAGCCGCCGCGGUAAUACGAAGGGUGCAAGCGUUACUCGGAAUUACUGGGCGUAAAGCAUGCGUAGGCGGUGAGUUAAGUCUGCUGUGAAAUCCCCGGGCUCAACCUGGGAAUGGCAGUGGAUACUGGCUCGCUAGAGUGUGUCAGAGGAUGGUGGAAUUCCCGGUGUAGCGGUGAAAUGCGUAGAGAUCGGGAGGAACAUCAGUGGCGAAGGCGGCCAUCUGGGACAACACUGACGCUGAGGCACGAAAGCGUGGGGAGCAAACAGGAUUAGAGACCCCCGUAGUCCCUGUCUCUUAUAC
rnacentral:rRNA from 1 species